GGCUUAACACAUGCAAGUCGAGGGGUAACAUUGUAGCUUGCUACAGAUGACGACCGGCGCACGGGUGCGUAACGCGUAUAGAACCUACCUUUUACAGAGGAAUAGCCUUUAGAAAUGAAGAUUAAUGCCUUAUAGUAUUGAGACUCGGCAUCGAGACUUAAUUAAAGAUUUAUCGGUAAAAGAUGGCUAUGCGUCCUAUUAGUUAGAUGGUAAGGUAACGGCUUACCAUGACAUCGAUAGGUAGGGGUCCUGAGAGGGAGAUCCCCCACACUGGUACUGAGACACGGACCAGACUCCUACGGGAGGCAGCAG
rnacentral:rRNA from 1 species